AGUGGAAUUGCUGGGUCACAUGGUAAGUGUAUGUUUAACUUUGUAAGAAAUUGCCAAACGUGUUUCCCAAAGUAUCUGUGUAAUUUGGUAUUCCCACCAGCAGU
rnacentral:pre_miRNA from 1 species